rnacentral:rRNA from 1 species
UGAACGCUGGCGGCGUGCUAACACAUGCAAGUCGAACGAAGCACCCUCAUCCGUGGAAGGGAGUAGCUUGCUACGAACGGACACACCCGAGGGUGACUGAGUGGCGGACGGGUGAGUAACGCGUGGGCAACCUGCCCCAUAGAGGGGGACAACAGUUAGAAAUGACUGCUAAUACCGCAUAGUAAGACAGAUCCGCAUGCUUCUGUCUUGAAAGCAUUUGCGCUAUGGGAUGGGCCCGCGUUUGAUUAGCUAGUUGGUGAGGUAACGGCCCACCAAGGCGACGAUCAAUAGCCGGCUUGAGAGAGUGAACGGCCACAUUGGGACUGAGACACGGCCCAAACUCCUACGGGAGGCAGCAGUGGGGAAUAUUGCACAAUGGGGGAAACCCUGAUGCAGCCGACGCCGCGUGAGUGAAGAAGUAUUUCGGUAUGUAAAGCUCUAUCAGCAGGAAAGAUAAUGACGGUACCUGACUAAGAAGCCCCGGCUAACUACGUGCCAGCAGCUGC